rnacentral:rRNA from 1 species
UACGAAGGGGGCUAGCGUUGCUCGGAAUUACUGGGCGUAAAGCGUGCGCAGGCGGUCUGUUAAGACCGAUGUGAAAUCCCCGGGCUUAACCUGGGAACUGCAUUGGUGACUGGCAGGCUUUGAGUGUGGCAGAGGGAGGUAGAAUUCCACGUGUAGCAGUGAAAUGCGUAGAGAUGUGGAGGAAUACCGAUGGCGAAGGCAGCCUCCUGGGCCAACACUGACGCUCAUGCACGAAAGCCGUGGGGAGCAAACAGG